UUUUCAAAAUGAGUGCACAAAGAUUGAAUUGCCUUUUAAGUAACUAGCAAAAGGCAUUGUUUUACUGAUUUGUUCCAGAGACUCCAAAGUACAGAUUUUGAGCAUAACUUCCUGUACUUUAGAAGCAUGUGAUGCUAGUCUGCAAACAUGAGCAAAUCUUAGAACGCUCCAUUAUUUAUUUAUUGCACAAUCACAGACUCACAUCCUGGUGAAUGUUAAUAUUUUCUGGGAGUAACAACAGACUAGGGAACAGAUAACAGCUAUAAAGGGCCCACAGAAACCCACAGAGCAGGAGCCUGACUUCUUUGCAACAGAACUGGUUGAGAUGAAGGUCUCUGUUGGUAAUAACUUUGCCUGGGAGUGGCAGAGCUGGCCAACCAUGUUCUCCAUGGCUGCUUCUCUUUGUGUCUCAUAACUCUUCUCACAGUCAUCUGAAGCUCGCCACCAUCCUCAAAUCAGAUUCCUGAGAAGUUACAGGUUUAGCCAAUGAGCCUCUAACCCCUGUGUGCUAUCUGCCUCAGACUGCUACCUCUGCUGUGAACAUACUGGCCCACAAAGAUGGUCCUUGACUUCUGCUAGGUGAUCUCACUACUCCAGGGCUGAGAGUGGUGCUUCUCUGUGCUCACACCGCUUAUGCAAGUAGCAUGAUUUAUGUGUGAAACAUAGUUUACACUUUAUUUUAUUUCAAGGAAUCUGGGAAUUUGGCACAUACCAAUCAGAGAGCAGUUGUGGCCAGCCCUAAACAAAAAUGCUAAAUGUCUCCACUGGGGAAUAUCACACAUAUUAGUGGUAUUUUAUUUUAUUUUAUUGUCAUUAGAGAAAACAGCACUCUUGAGUAGUUCCUCCCCAAAGGAGAGGUCUGAAUUGAUUUCCCUCCACAGAGCUUGAGCCAGCAGCUUCCUUUAGAAAGAGUUUGUUGGCUUGGAAGGGAUCCAUCUAGGACAGGGUGCAUUUCCUAAUUCAAAGAUGAAUUUUCAUACUGAAACAAAUAACUUGGUAACUUCAUUGAGCAUAUAAGCAAUGUUCUUAGAAAAAAUGUCAUUUUGGCAUUUUUAUUAGAGCCAUAUUCACAAAUGCUGAAAUGUAUGUAACUAACUGAAACAAUAUUUUGCUAUUAACCUGCUUUUUGAAUAUAUGAAUUCAGUAUAAAAUAAAUAGUCACAUCUGUUUCUUGGGGUUAUUCAAUAAUCCAUGUUCAAUUGAAUUCUGAUCAUAGAGGCUCUGUUAAAAAAAGAAAAGUUGGUCGGUAAGAAAGUUGUAAUAAGCUAGCUUGUAGUGUUAUAUGUGUUUCUCUUUUCCUAAUUUCACAGCCAAGUGACCCUUUGGGGAUGGGGUGAGGGUGUUUUCUAUGUCUCCCUGUCUUUGGCUCCCUUGCAUUCUGCAGUGAAAUGCUCUCAGACAGCAACUGCACAAGCCCUCCCAGCUCUCUGCAGAAUUCUGUCUGGCAGAUUUCUGUGCUACACCCUGCUCAUAGUGGAUGCCUGACAACUAUUUAAGGUGACCAGACACAAUGACAGCACUACUAGAAGAAAUAGCUGCUGUAAACAGAACUUGCUCUGGAAAAGGACCAGAACUCUUUCAUCCUAAGAACUUCAGAUUGAAAAUCUCCAACAAGUUCCUGCAUUUUAGAGAAAGCUCAAUGAGCAAAGCUUUUGAAGGUAGAGGCUGCUUUUUGGUGGUAGUGAUGGUGCAGGAGGCUUCUGGAUACUGGCUUUCUGGUCAUCUUGGUACCUUACUGGAGUAUCCUGUCAGCUUAUCUCAUGCAUUCAGCCUGUCUGGGACUCAGAUGUGUGGGCUCAGGGUAUGGAUGAUCCUUAGACAUAAGCAUUCAAGGAGAGCAAAACCUCAACUCUAUUCUAGUAGCCAAAGCAUUUUAUUUUAUAAUCUCAUGUUUUUCUUUCCACAUGUCAACCAGUGCAUCUGGCAGAGUCAGCAAGAGCCUUAAAUUUGGCAACACCUUAAGUAUGAACAAGAAUUCUCAGGCUUGACUCUGCUUUUGCAAGUGUUCUAAAACAGAAGAAAGGGUCAUAAACUUACGUGAAAUCAUACACUAAGAACCUAAAGAAAAGAAAAGAUUGUUCAAAUCAAACACUGUAAGACCAGAAGAAUUUUUAUGUGUGAGUUACUUUUAUUUUUAGAAAUAGAAUAUAAUAGAUAACUAACAGAAAGACCAUGCCAAACAUUCUGCAAAGCAAUGUGCAGAAUGACCUCAUUGUGUUAAAACACAGGAUGGAUAAGUAUACUUGGAUUAAUCAUUGCUUUCCUGUGCAUUUCCUGUGUCAGAUGUUUUGCUAAUUUUUUUUUUUACAUACAGUGCUUUAUAUGCACAACUGACAGAAAUCCCAAGGUACUUCUUCUUCCUUGCUCUCUUCUUAUCCAUGCUCUUCAUGGUACCACUCACAAAACCUAAGAUGUACAACCAACUACAUGUCUACCAUCAGAUUAGUGUGUGAAGAAGAUACUAUGGCACAUGUGUGCAAUGGGGUUAGUUGGAAGAGAAUCAACAACAAAACAACAAAAAACGAUCACAAUUUCACAAGGAAACCUACUAAAAAACAAACCACCAAAAAGGCUGGAGGUGGAGAUCAUUAUGUUAAACACUAGACUGAAAAAGUAAUUUUUAUAUCAGCUUUUACCAGGAUUAUUAAACCAAAGUUUCUUUCUUUGUAAAAAUGGCCAUCCUGUCGAAACGCCUUCUAAAUCUUUAUGUUUACACCUAUAGAGCUGGACUGGUCUCAGCCUUGGUGAGUGUACAGUAGUGAGUGUACAGGCUCCAAACUGGUCAAAGAGCAAGCAAAGUUCCUAAACAUAUGUACAUAUGAGCAACACUAAAUGGAUUCAGUAGGGUAUGUGUACAAAUGUAUAUAAUAAUAAGAAUUAUCAAAGAAGAGGUUAUGAUUUUGAGAUAGUUGGGAGGAAGUGGAAAGGAGUAGGGAGGGAUAGAAAUUAUGGAAAUAAAUACAUAUAAAUUUAUAAAAAAAUGUUUAAAGAAAGAAAGAAUAAAUGGCUGUGAGUGCUUAGCUCUAAAUAGAACAUUGCCAUUGUUGUUUAUGUUUGAGACAGGAUCUCAUUGUAUAGCUCUGGCUGGUCUAGGACUUGAAAUGUAGACCCGAUCGUCCUGGAACACACAGAGAUCUACCUGCCUCUGUCUCCUGAGUGCUGGGAUUAAAGGCAUGUGUCACCAUAUCUAGCUAAACAGGACAUCUUCAUUAAACAUCCCUACCACUACCAAGGCUCAGAGAACAUCUUGGAUGAAGAGGUCAUAAGGAUGUGAAAGCUGGAGGAUGAGAAAGGAUGCUGUGAUGUGAAGUCACCUGGUUGUGGUUCUUGCAUCCAUGAACUCACAGCAGCUGUGGCUACCUGAAUAAAACCUACACAAGAUCAAGCAAAACAACAACAACAAACAAACAAAAAACAAACAAACAAACAAACAAAAAGAACGGAAUAGGUGGGGUGUGUGUGGGUACUUAUGAGAUCUGCCUUAUCUACUUUUCAAUUGCUAUAAUAAAACACCAUGAUCAAGGCAA